rnacentral:rRNA from 1 species
UCGAGAAUCUUCCGCAAUGGGCGAAAGCCUGACGGAGCGACACCGCGUGAUGGAUGAAGUGCUUCGGUAUGUAAACAUCUUUUAUAGGGGAAGAAGUAUAUUGACGGUACCCUAUGAAUAAGGACCUGCCAAACUCGUGCCAGCAGCAGCGGUAAUACGAGUGGUCCAAGCGUUAUCCGGAAUUAUUGGGCGUAAAGCGUGCGUAGGUGGAAUUAUUAGUCGGGUGUUUAACCCACGGGCUCAACCUGUG